AAUCAAUUCCUUUUUCUAAUAUGAAGAUCAAUAAUAUGGGAGGAAAAGAUUUACAGAGAGCCUUCGUUUACUUAGCCGUGCACUUCUAUCUACUAGCUAGCUUGUCAUAUAAUAUUAAACAAUACUAAUUUUGAUCAUCAGAAAACAAAUUUUCAACAACGCUCAUAUAUUAGCUGUCAUAGAAACAAUUUACCAGAAGACAAACUCUGCAUUCCAUAAUAGUAUUCAGCAAAAAUAAAUCAUUCACCACUAUUAAAAAUAGUUCCUUCUUUAAAGUGAUUCAAUCUAAUUAAUAGUCUCAGUCUUGCUAGCAGCCGCAGUAUGAGGGUUCGAUUCCUGAUAUAUGGAAUUGGACUCUUUGUGGACACCAGUGUACAGACAAGCUCUUGUUCCCUUAUCUGCUGGGACACAUCCCGCGAUUUACCUUUCUCACGAUACUCCAUCGGUGAGGGCCUUCAAGGUUGGGGUUCAACCUUUUAAUAAACCAACUUUGGCGUGGAAGGGGUAUCAAAACUUGAUAUUUGCGGUUGCUAAAGACUAAAUU
rnacentral:lncRNA from 1 species